GCCGCAAACCACUCUAUCGCGGGCUCGUGCAAAUGAGCGUGAGGAAAGUCCGGACAACGUAGAGCGCCACACCAUCUAACGGAUGGGCUGCUGUGUUGAGCGCAAGCUCGAAACAGUGGACAGAGAGGGUCACAGAAAAGAAACUACCGCGCAAGCGGAAAAGGUGAAAACGUGUGGUAAGAGCACACGCGGCCAGGUAGCAAUAUCCGGUGUGGAUAAACCUUGUGGGUUGAAAUGUCAAGUAUACCUCAAUUGGGCGCAAGCCCAGCAGAGCUGCUCGCUUUGUUUUUGCAAAAAAGUUGGGGAGGGUAGGCAGAUGGAUCCCGCACCGCAAGGACGGGACUAGAUAAAUGAUAGAGGCUAUUGCUUUAGGGCAGUAGAACAGAAUCCGGCUUAUCGGUUUGCGGCAAAU
rnacentral:RNase_P_RNA from 2 species